CUUCCCUGGGUAAAAAUCGUUUCCUUGCCUUCCCCACGAAGCCAACCUGCCUUCCUCCAUGAAUCUGGCCUUCCUCCGCUCGUCCUCCCCCAUCUCCUUCCUCCAUGAAUCUGGCCACACGCUGCCCUUGCCUCUUCCCUUCCGGUCCUUUCAUCAACGACCACCUGUAGGUAAAGGAGAUGACGUCCUGGAUUCCGCCUCAUCCUCUUUCCAAUCCGACGCCUCCACACACCCGCUCCCUCGCCAUCGGCGGCGCCGCCGCAUGCCGGUCCUCCGUGCGUCGCCUCCUCUUCCUCCACGACCCCUCCACGUACUCGCAGACGACGGCAGCCGGAACCGCCCCCGUCGCCCUCGUCACCUCCACUUGUUCCACGAUCUGGCCAAGCCACCGAGAGAAAGCUGUUCGCGGUGUUGUAGCGCUGCUGGGGAGCUGCGCGUUAUGAUGAACAUCUGCCUCCUCCUCCGUGUCAUGCCCUGCAGGUACCUAUCUUUGGUUUUGAUUGAUGCCUCACAUUUCUGUUAGAGCGUUGGUCUUGAUGCUAUGGACAUUGUUUGGUGUCGCUUGGAUUCAGACCUGCUGUAUUGGGCACAAAAAAUAUAAGAUCACACAUGGACACAUUGCAAGUGUGGAUAGAAAUAUAUUGGUGGUGCAUUGUCACAUGUAUGCUACAUCUGUAAUCAGAGAUUCAGGUCAUACCAGUUUUUUGGUCUCUUCAUUUGUGAUACUUUUUUCCUUUAGGAAGUCAUUGCCUUUUUGCCAAGAAUUCAUCACUGAAAGAGCUGAAGUUGAGAUCUCCGUUUAAAGCAGUGAUUAAUUACUGACCGUAAAAUAAUUUGUCAUCGUGAGAUUCUUCAACUGUCGGUUCGCCAUCAAUUUUAGGAUUUAACCAACUAAAAUGAAACCAAGAUACAGUUGCUGCUGCACUUAUGAGCAAAUUGUACAGGGUAAAGACAUGCAGCUGCUCAAGAACAGGGGAAGGACCAAUCUGCUGUUUCGGUUGUUUAUGUGCGCUGAAGAUUGUUCAUACCCGUAUCCCGAAGAUAGAAGGCAAAAUAAUCCAAUUCAUCACAUUUGAAUUUCCUAAUCCAACUUCAGUAGUUAAACACUUUAAGUUGUUCUCCCUAAAGUUACAUUCUUGCCAGUUAAUCUCAUGGCCUAACCUUUGUGAUCAAAUUGUCUCCAGAGUUAAGUACCCAGAUCGUGUAACUUUAAUACGAGGAAAUCAUGAGCAGGCAGAUUACACAAGUUUAUGACUUCUAUGAUGAGUGUCUUCAUGAAUACGGCUCGGUGAAUGUCUGGAGAUGUUGCACAGAAAUAUUCGACUAUUUAAGUUUGUCUGCACUUACUGAGAACAAAAUCUUCAAUGUCCACGGAGGCCUUUCCCCUGCUAUUACGGCAGUGAAUCAGGCUUUAUUUCACUUGGAGAAAAGUAAUCAGGAGCUCAAGGGUGACCUCAAGUACAUGUACGUCUACACUGCAAUGUAAGUAGAUAAUCCAGAUGGAUGUCGUUGGGAACAGGAAGGCAGUUGUGAUCUAUGUGCCAUACUGUCUGCGCAAGGCCUUCAGGAAGAUUCACGAUGGAUUAGUUUGCUCUUUUCAUUAUCCAGUCUUCCUGUUUUAGAGCAAAUAAAUCAGAUUUAUUGGUAGAUUAAUUUUUAGGCGUCUGCAUUGUUGUGAUGCUCAUGGUUGCUGAUUUCAGUCUGUAUUAACCAGUUCUUGUGUUGACUGGAGGAAAGGUUGGCCGUAUCAGUCAUCCAUCUUGUAAGAUUGUCACCUCUCUGUUAAUAUAUACUCCCUCGGUCCAAAAA